rnacentral:rRNA from 1 species
GACGAACCGUGCGAACGUUAUUCGGAAUCACUGGGCUUAAAGGGCGCGUAGGCGGGUCCGUAAGUCAGGGGUGAAAUCCCACGGCCCAACCGUGGAAGUGCCUCUGAUACUGCGGGCCUCGAGGGGGGUAGGGGCGUGCGGAACUCAGGGUGGAGCGGUGAAAUGCGUAGAUAUCCUGAGGAACACCGGUGGCGAAAGCGGCGCGCUGGAUCCCUUCUGACGCUGAGGCGCGAAAGCCAGGGGAGCAAACGGG